rnacentral:rRNA from 1 species
AUUGAACGCUGGCGGCAGGCCUAACACAUGCAAGUCGAACGAGCGGCGGACGGGUGAGUAAUGUAUGGGGAUCUGCCUGAUAGAGGGGGAUAACUACUGGAAACGGUGGCUAAUACCGCAUACUAUCGGAUGUGCCCAGAUGGGAUUAGCUAGUAGGUGGGGUAAAGGCUCACCUAGGCGACGAUCGCUAGCUGGUCUGAGAGGAUGAUCAGCAACACUGGGACUGAGACACGGCCCAGACUCCUACGGGAGGCAGCAGUGGGGAAUAUUGCACAAUGGGCGCAAGCCUGAUGCAGCCAUGCCGCGUGUAUGAAGAAGGCCUUAGGGUUGUAAAGUACUUUCAGCGGGGAGGCGUUACCCGCAGAAGAAGCACCGGCUAACUCCGUGCCAGCAGCCGCGGUAAUAC